AUACUGAGGAUCCAAGCGUUAUCCGGAUUUAUUGGGUUUAAAGGGUGCGCAGGCGGCCUUAUAAGUCAGUGGUGAAAUCUCCCGGCUCAACCGGGAAACUGCCGUUGAUACUGUAAGGCUAGAAUACAGACGAGGUAGGCGGAAUGUAGCAUGUAGCGGUGAAAUGCUUAGAUAUGCUACAGAACACCAAUCGCGAAGGCAGCUUACCAGACUGUAAUUGACGCUAAGGCACGAAAGCGUGGGGAGCGAACAGGAUUAGAUACCCCAGUAGUCC
rnacentral:rRNA from 1 species